UGGGUAUGCUUGGUGACUGCUGGUAUGUCCUUUCUCGUUGCCUUUAUGAUUUAUAGCUAUAUUUCAUUCUCUACUUGGUGGAGAUUACAUUGUUAAUUGAUGUCCUCUGUAGGCUUUCUACUUCUGUGGAAAGUUUACUCUUGUGAAGUUAGUAUGGGGAAUCAAUAUCGUAAUAAAUUUAAGGACAAUGAUAGAGUGAUGACUGAAGGUAAUGAGGAAAUUUUGGUCCUAGAUAGAGCGGAUUGUGGGGAAGAGAAUUGCAUGACAUAUCCCAACUGGUUGGGGACCAAGGGUUAGUCAAGUUGAGGGGGGGAAAGCUUAAAGAAAUUGUUACCAAACAAUUGUUGAAGGCUUUCUUGAACUACAUAGAAUAAUACUUUCUCCAAAUGGUUAAAAUUGCAGCAAGAUGGAGAAAGUUCUUUACAAAAAGCAGCUAAAUCAAUGACUGAAGAGAGUGGAGGUGGUGGAUUGGCGACACUUAGAAUAAAAAAAUAAAAUAAAAUUUUGGCCAAGCAUGCCAUGAAGCUUGACUAAGGCAGUCAGAUACUCCCAUCAAAUGUUUGAUGAUAUAUCUAGAUCAUACUUGUGUGUUGUGCAUCUGCUUUAGAAAACCUUAAAUGAUUAUCAUAUUGUUGAAUGUUAAAAGAGGCCUGAUCCAUAGGGAGUUGCAAUGUAGAAAUUGAAGGUUAUAAUCCUAACCACCUUCUUUUUUUAAAAAAAACCUUGUUAAAAGAUACAUUUACCUUCAUUGAUAACUUCCAAAAUCUAUGGUAGCAGGCAUUGAGUCCUGAUGUUUUUACAUUGAGUAAAAUUUUUACCACCAUUUUUGUUGCAGCCGCACACUGGGUGAUCCUGGUU
rnacentral:misc_RNA from 1 species